rnacentral:rRNA from 1 species
GAUGAACGCUGGCGGCGUGCCUAAUACAUGCGAGUCGAGCGAACAGACGAGGAGCUUGCUCCUCUGACGUUAGCGGCGGACGGGUGAGUAACACGUGGAUAACCUACCUAUAAGACUGGGAUAACUUCGGGAAACCGGAGCUAAUACCGGAUAAUAUAUUGAACCGCAUGGUUCAAUAGUGAAAGACGGUUUUGCUGUCACUUAUAGAUGGAUCCGCGCCGCAUUAGCUAGUUGGUAAGGUAACGGCUUACCAAGGCGACGAUGCGUAGCCGACCUGAGAGGGUGAUCGGCCACACUGGAACUGAGACACGGUCCAGACUCCUACGGGAGGCAGCAGUAGGGAAUCUUCCGCAAUGGGCGAAAGCCUGACGGAGCAACGCCGCGUGAGUGAUGAAGGUCUUCGGAUCGUAAAACUCUGUUAUUAGGGAAGAACAAAUGUGUAAGUAACUAUGCACGUCUUGACGGUACCUAAUCAGAAAGCCACGGCUAACUACGAG